UAAGGUACCACUGGUUAGCUGCUGGAAAGGUGAUGUCAUAGGGCCCAUCUUCCAUCAACAAGACACCGCAUUUGUGGAUAUUUUCACCAGUUUACUGCAUGGUACACCCACCAGGAACACCUACGAGGCACAGAAGACAUACUUAACCAAAAGAAAAGGCAAAAGAAGAAGAAGAAAAAGAAAACAUUUGUGCUGCCAAUCCCCUUUGACAAACUACAGGAUAAAAGAGUGGGAGGUCCCUUCACUAAUUUAACUUGAAUAGAUUGGUUACACUAUGAAAGGAUUUCAAUCUCAGAUGAAUUGGAGACUAUGAAAUGGAGCUUCUCCUUCAUGAGCCCUCAAAAGAAUGGAACCUAAGAACUGCGAGACUAAUUUACAUUAAAUGCCUGAUUUGCAAAAGACAGAGACUUGCCCCCUGAUCAAUGAACAUUGAUGAAGAAUCUCUCCCCAUCUUCAAGCCAAUGAAUUUCAUGCUUAGACUCUGGCUGGAUGGACUUGCCCCUCUGUACUCCUUGCCCAUAAAUACAGCCUGAUCCAAACCAUCAAUGAGCUUGCCUGUAGCUUGCUAUGGCAUGCAUUUCCCAAACUGCAGUUCCUCUGCUAUUCCUGAAAAGACGUAAUUUCUGGUCAUUUGAGUUUGCC
rnacentral:lncRNA from 1 species